rnacentral:rRNA from 1 species
GACGGAGGAUGCAAGUGUUAUCCGGAAUCACUGGGCGUAAAGCGUCUGUAGGUGGUUCAAUAAGUCAACUGUUAAAUCUUGAGGCUCAACUUCAAAAUCGCAGUCGAAACUAUUAGGCUAGAGUAUAGUAGGGGUAAAGGGAAUUUCCAGUGGAGCGGUGAAAUGCGUAGAGAUUGGAAAGAACACCGAUGGCGAAGGCACUUUACUGGGCUAUUACUAACACUCAGAGACGAAAGCUAGGGUAGCAAAUGGG